GUGUCAGCAGCCGCGGUAAAACGUAGGGGGCGAGCGUUAUCCGGAAUCACUGGGCGUAAAGGGCGUCUAGGCGGCACGUCAAGUCUUGCGUGAAAUCUCCUGGCUCAACUAGGAGAGUGCGUGGGAAACUAGCGAGCUAGAGACGUGGAGGGGUGCACGGAAUUCCCGGUGGAGUGGUGGAAUGCGUUGAGAUCGGGAGGAACACCAGAAGCGAAGGCGGUGCACUGGCCACGGACUGACGCUGAAGCGCGACAGCGUGGGGAGCGAACGGGAUUAGAUACCCUGGUAGUCC
rnacentral:rRNA from 1 species